GAUGAACGCUGGCGGCGUGCCUAAUACAUGCAAGUCGAGCGCAGCGGGGACGGGUGCGUAACACGUGGAUAACCUCCUAUAAGUCUGGGAUAACUUCGGGAAACCGGAGCUAAACCGGAUACUUAUAUCUGGAUUCGUGCUGCAUGAGCUGGUUGGUAAGUUAACGGCUUACCAAGGCAACGAUGAAUAGCCGACCUGGGGGGGUGAUCGGCCACACUGGAACUGAGACACGGUCCAGACUCCUACGGGAGGCAGCAGUAGGGAAUCUGCCGCAAUGGGCGAAAGCCUGACGGAGCAACGCCGCGUGAGUGAAGAAGGUCUUCGGAUCGUAAAACUCUGUUAUUAGGGAAGCGGUACCUAAUCAGAAAGCCACGGCUAACUACGUGCCAGCAGCCGCGGUAAUUC
rnacentral:rRNA from 1 species